rnacentral:rRNA from 1 species
UACGGAGGGUGCAAGCGUUAAUCGGAAUUACUGGGCGUAAAGCGUGCGCAGGCGGUUUGUUAAGUCCGUUGUGAAAGCCCCGAGCUCAACUUGGGAAUUGCAGUGGAUACUGGCAGGCUGGAGUACGGUAGAGGAAGGUGGAAUUCCCGGUGUAGCAGUGAAAUGCGUAGAUAUCGGGAGGAACACCAGUGGCGAAGGCGAGUCCCUGGACACUUCCUGACACUGAGGCACGAAAGCUAGGGGAGCAAACAGG